ACAAGCGGUGGAUGAUGUGGAUUAAUUCGAUGCAACGCGAAAACCUUACCUACCCUUGACAUGUCCGGAAUCCCGAAGAGAUUUGGAGUGCUCGCAAGAGAACCGGAACACAGGUGCUGCAUGGCUGUCGUCAGCUCGUGUCGUGAGAUGUUGGGUUAAGUCCCGCAACGAGCGCAACCCUUGUCAUUAGUUGCCAUCAUUUGGUUGGGCACUCUAAUGAGACUGCCGGUGACAAACCGGAGGAAGGUGGGGAUGACGUCAAGUCCUCAUGGCCCUUAUGGGUGGGGCUUCACACGCCAUACAAUGGUCGGUACAGAGGGUUGCCAACCCGCGAGGGGGAGCUAAUCCCACAAAGCCGAUCGUAGUCCGGAUCGCAGUCUGCAACUCGACUGCGUGAAGUCGGAAUCGCUAGUAAUCGUGGAUCAGCAUGUCACGGUGAAUACGUUCCCGGGUCUU
rnacentral:rRNA from 1 species